AUUUCCUGUCACUUUCAUUUGGAGUCAGCAAUGACUCAACUCCAGAUCAGCCUGGCUGACACACCAGACCUUCAGGAUGGGAGAGCUGGGUGAGGUGUGUGUCUGUCAAAGAGCAGAUGUCACAUGGGCUUUGCACAAAAAGGGUGGAUUCCAGUUCCACUGUGGGGGUGGGACACUGGCACAGGGUGCCCAGAGAAGCUGUGGCUGCCCCUGGAUCCCUGGCAGUGCCCAAGGCCAGGCUGGAAAGGGCUUGGAGCAACCUGGGCUAGUGGAAGGUGCCCAUGGCAGGAGGGAACCUUGUUCCAGGUUGCCCAUGGAACAAGAUGAUUUUAAAGGUCCCUUCCAGACCAAACCAUUCUGGGAUUCCAUAGAACCAAUGCCCUGACUCAGGUCCUUUGUGGGGUGUUGGGGAGUCUGAGCAACAUCCCUGUGCUAAAGAAAUAUUUACCUGUCUGAGGCAGCCCCAGCCCAGGCGGGAAGUAAAGGCAUUUGCACUCUGGAAAAUCAAAAGCUUUGAUCUCCCCCAGGAUCACUGUGUGGUACAGGCAAUAUUUAGGGUGUUCACUGAGAAAGCACAGAUUUAUGGCACUUCUGCCAAUGUGGCUUUGUGGAAGAUGCUUUUGGGAGAACUGAACACUACCAGACCCUGCUUUGGGUCCUGGUACUGGUGGGCAAUUCUCCUUUUUCAGGCUGAAAUCUCUCUGUGUUCAGUUUCAUUCUGUAGGAGUUCGGGGAAGAGGAGACAAGAAAUGCAGGGAUGUCUUUGGAAGGGCACCUUCUUUGCUUUGUUGCUGGGGAGAUCAGACAUCCAAAAAGUUGGCUGCACACAUCUACCCAUGACAUCCAGGGAAAUGCUCACAUUGAGCCUGAAGAUGGGAGAGUCACCAUCAUCAUCCUCAGGGUCAUCAUCUUCAUCAUCAACACCUGUGGGACUGUGAACCUCCUUCACAGAAGCCAACUCCAACACCAGCCUCAUGGACACCCAUGGCAGCAAAAGGAGAAGCCUGUGAAUUCUUCCCUCUUGAAAUGACUCCCUUUCUCCUCCCUGCUGCUCUGCCAUCCCAGAUGGAGCCUGGCACCCUGGAGCAGCCACCCUUCAUCCCUGCAGAGCAGCCCCUGCUAAAGCCUUCGAGGUGUGAGCUCAGUGGAACAUUUAUACAUUUAAUUCUUUUAAUUUAUCUGUAUAUUGAAUUAAAUUUUGAGACAAAAAGUUCUCAAGAGCGGUUGCUGCGAGAAGCUAGAAAGCUCCAUGUGGGAACAGAGCAUAUUCCUGGGGUUUUGGCAUUCUGCUUUUGUGUCUAUUAAUAAUCCCCCGGAGUGAGUCAUAUGGAGCUGCAUUUAUUCACUGACUCGGAGAGAGCUGCUACCCAAAAUAGCAGCUCUGUAAUUUUUUAUGAUGCUGUAAUGCCAGUGCAGUGAAGAUUGACAUCAUUUGAGGGAGAUGCUCCAGCCUGGCAGCCAGAGAACCCGUGUCCAGCCCCACAAGGAACGUGGAGAGCCACGUGCUCCAUUACAUAAAAGCACCAGAGAGCCAGCACGGGGUGGAGAUGCCUCUUCUGUCCUCACCUGAGCCUCUUUUCCCCAGAUUUCUUCCCCUUUUUAGGCCUUUCUAAGCCUUUUUUGCUCAUUUUCUUCAAUCAUGAGGAGCACAGGGCCAGAGGAUGAAGAGGAAAUGGCUUUUGCUGCAGAGAGGAGCCUCAGGCACGUCUCAAACCAUCAACCUGCCUGCUAGGAGGUCCAUAGGGAAAUCUUGAAAUGCAUCAAACUCAGCAUCACCAGCUCAUCCUUUUCCUCACCCACGUUGCUGCUCCGUGUCCCUCUCUGAACCCCCGUGUGUCCCCUGUGCCCAAAAUCUGCCAGCUCCUUCCCAGCCCCGUGUUCCUGACUGAUGGCAGCCCCAGGCAAAGGGCAGAGAAACGCUGGGGCAGGGUUUGGGCUGGGCUUUGUAAGGAUCAGUCUGCUUUUCUGGAUUGCUUCUCAUUCUCUGCCCUGCACUGCUGCCAUCAGGUCUGUCCUGGAGUGGCAGCCAGUGGGGCAUCCAAGACACCCCAGGGUGGCCCCACUGCUCCCCAAAAACACCUCUGGGUACCACUCAGGCUUUUUGGCACAAUUCUGGCUAAAAUUCCUCUGCAGGAGCCCCAGCCCAGCACUCUGUGCUCUCCACCAAAGCAUUCAGGAAGAUGAAUUUGCCAGUGCUGGGCAUUAAUAGCCUGGGUGAACUUUUGCAGUGUUUUACAGGCUCCCUUCCAGCUGGAAAUGUUUAUUAACAUUACCUUUGCAUGCAGCACUGGGGGAGAAAAGGGAAUUGCUGCCACGGCAGCCUUGAGGCAGUGUGACUGACGGGAUGAGCAGCAGCUGUGGCUCAGGUUUGGUCAGAGCAGCUCAAGUGCUUUGGGUGAAGGGUGUCACACCUUUGGGGGACCUGCGUGGAAGAUGGAAUGUGACAGUUGAGCUACAGACCCUCAAUACAACCACUGGCAUAAAUUAAUGAAUAUAGUCUUAAUAGGAGGGGUCAGGACAUGGGGUCCCUUGUUUCUUGAAGGGGCAGAAAGGGACUUUGCUCCAAAAUACUCCAGUCUCUAAGCCCUGCUGUUCCCAGAACACAGAAACAGUAGGCUGAAGGAAUUUAGCACUGCCCUAGCAAGGCUGGCAAUGAUUUCUACUUCACAUCAUGAACACUGCUCAGCACCUGAACAAGGGCUUGAAGUUUUAGGGCUCCUGCAUCUUAAUCCUAAUUUUCUUAAUGCUAAUUUCCAGAGAGGAAAAAUUUCCAGGAGUAGAGGUGGUGGAGGAAUGCUCAUAACAGAGGAAGGAUGAGGGAUACACCCCUCAAAGACUCACCUCAUCAGGCCCAAGGGAGACCUGGUUUUUUCAUUCUAAAUAUUACAGAUGCAGCAGUCAAAAUGAACUUUUGAGGGUCUGGAUUCUGGAUUUUAAGCAUAAAACACUAAUGCCCAAGUCAGAGAAGAGAGGUUGAAAUAGUCCCACUAGAUCUGGUUGCUGAGAGCCUGUCCAGUUUCAUUUCUAGACUGAAAAGUGGUGUUUUGGUUAUUACAAUACCUCUGGGUUCAGCCAACUUCCCAGGGAAAAAUUCCAGGCUUUCCCAGGUGGCUCCAGCACCGAGGCUGCCAGUGAAGGACUGGUGUGACUGCCUUGCUGAAAGUGACAGCCAACAGCAACGCAGAAAUGAGCACAGCCUGACCAGAAUAUUUACAUUUUAUUAAAUCUUUACAAUCAGCAGUUAUAAUCAAGUACACAAUUAUGUACACGGAUUAUGUACAUUUUAGCCCAGACUUUUACAUCACAGUACAUAGUUGCCCUUAGAAAUAUUGGGUACAUUUAUCACCAGAGAGUAAAACCCAACAAUAGUGUUACAGCACCUGUUAUUAGACAUCUUCCAUAAGAAAAUAUACGGCUGUAAAUUGGUCUGGCUAAAAAAAGAAAAAAAAACCAAACCAAAAAUCUUAUAAAAUCUGAACAUACAAUUUUCAUUCACAGAAUGGUUUGUUUUCUAUGUUCUGACUGAAGCCUGUUGCAUAAGAUGUCCUGUUUUUCACCUCUCAACACACACUCAUUGGUGCCUACUCAGGGACACUGGCAGGAGGAGGAGAACCAGAGCUGGGCUCAUUCUCAAACUUCAUUAAGAAACAAUAAAUGUAAACAAUUAAAAGAUUCCUCUAAGAUCAAAUGAGAAAUUAAUUGGCUGAUCUGACUUACAUGGCAUGGAAUAAGUGCUACUUGCAGCUGUGAUUCCUGAAUUCUUCAGUGUUCAAUACCAUACAAAGAAAUGCACAAUGUUAUACUCUAAGGGUGAUUCCUGAUUAAUGAUGAGCAAUAUUCCAUAUGCAGGGAGCAGACUUCCAAACACUUGGGAAGAACACUCUCUGCCCUUUCCAAAAGGGCUUUUCUUUUUGAUGAAUACAUUCUUUUUGCUUUUGAAGAUGAUAGCAACAGAAAACUGAAUUCUUUCCAGAAUGAUAUGAACAGGUUAAACUAAAGCCUAUGUCCUCUUAAGGAAAUACAAAGUGAAAAUAACCUGAAUAAAACUGUCCCCCCAAUUUAAUCCUCUUUCCCAAAAGGUCAACCUUGCCUGAUUCAGUUCUGUAAACGAAGCUAUGGCUCUUGUGAUGGUUUAAAAGGUGAAGCACAACUAAAUGAAACAAAAACCACUUCAAAAGGAAGGAGGCAACAGUAAUCUGAGGUAGGCCACCACCAAAAUGCUGCCCCCUAAAUCCAUAUGGAGUUCUGGGAUCCCUGAAAGGUAAAGCCUGCUGCUCUAAUAACAGGUGGAGAAAGCAGUUACUAAAAAAGAGCUGAUGAGUUAGCAAGGAAAGUUAACCUUUUAAUAAAAUUUGACAUCUACACCUAAAUCUGCAAGUAAAAAAAAAAAAAAAGAAAACCUUUAG